AACGGCGUUUAAAACGGCGUUUUAUUGAAAUUAUGCAGGGCACUCCCCAUGGUUCCCUCAUCCAAUUACUUUCAACUCAUUUCACCCAAUCAAAGAAGAGGAAGUGCAGACCACACUAAUGCAUCACCGAUUCACCUUGCUGCUAAGUGAUUGCCUAUUCGGUAUCAGUGCUUGUCACAGUAUUGACUUGUAUUAUAAUCCCACUAUGCAUUUUGAUGUGUUUAAGGCAUGAUCAAGCAAACAAAUGACAGAAUACUUUUGCUGAAACCUUAACUGUGUUACCUGUUAUGGCAGCUAACAGACACUCGGCGCAUGGCUCCUUUGUUUACGUUAGGGAUCAGCUGUUAGCGCUGCGCCCUGCAGCUGCGCUACCGGCAGACAGACCCUACGUCCCCAGUGAGGGAAGAGACGGGGGUGAUGUCUCCCGAUAA